rnacentral:rRNA from 1 species
CUACCGGGGUAUCUAAUCCCGUUUGCUCCCCUGGCUUUCGCGCCUCAGCGUCAGUGUCGGUCCAGGAUGCCGCCUUCGCCACCGGUGUUCCUCCAGAUAUCUACGCAUUUCACCGCUACACCUGGAAUUCCACAUCCCUCUCCCGCACUCGAGCCCUCCAGUAUCGGACGCAGUUCCCAAGUUAAGCCUGGGGAUUUCACGUCCGACUUAGAAGGCCGCCUACGCGCCCUUUACGCCCAGUAAUUCCGAACAACGCUUGCCACCUCUGUAUUACCGCGGCUGCUGGCAC